UGAGGAAUAUUGGACAAUGGGCGCAAGCCUGAUCCAGCCAUGCCGCGUGCAGGAUGACGGUCCUAUGGAUUGUAAACUGCUUUUGUACAGGAAGAAACAGUUCUACGUGUAGAACCUUGACGGUACUGUAAGAAUAAGGAUCGGCUAACUCCGUGCCAGCAGCCGCGGUAAUACGGAGGAUCCAAGCGUUAUCCGGAAUCAUUGGGUUUAAAGGGUCCGUAGGCGGUUAGAUAAGUCAGUGGUGAAAGCCCAUCGCUCAACGGUGGAACGGCCAUUGAUACUGUCUGACUUGAAUUAUUAGGAAGUAACUAGAAUAUGUAGUGUAGCGGUGAAAUGCUUAGAGAUUACAUGGAAUACCAAUUGCGAAGGCAGGUUACUACUAAUGGAUUGACGCUGAUGGACGAAAGCGUGGGUAGCGAACAGGAUUAGAUACCCUUGUAGUCCCUGAGCGGGCUGGCAAGGCGCAU
rnacentral:rRNA from 1 species